rnacentral:lncRNA from 1 species
AUUAAGAUUGACAGUUCAUUCAUUAGUUAUUGAAGUUUAAAUUUGUUAUAGGAAUUACUAGGAUUUAGUUAGGAUUCAAUUUAGGGUUUAGGAUUUGAUUAGGGUUUGGUUUUAGAUUUAGGAUUUGAUUAGGAUUUGAUUCAAGGUUAGGAUUUGGUUAGGAUUUGAUUUAGGAUUUGAUUUAGGAUUUAAGAUUUGAUUAGGAUUUGAUUAGGGUUUGAUUUAGGAUUUGAUUAGAGCUUGAUUUAGGAUUAAGAUUUGAUUAGGAUUUGAUUGGAAUUUGAUUUAGGAUUCGAUUUAAGGUUAGGAUUUUUUUAAGGUUUGAUUUAGGAUUCAGGAUUUGGUUAGGAUUUGAUUUAGGGUUAGAAUUUGGUUAGGAUUUGAUUUAGGAUUUAAGAUUUGAUUAAGAUUUGAUUCAGGAUUUAGAAUUUAGUUAGGAUUUGAUUUAGGAUUUAAGAUUUUAUUAGGAUAUAUUUAAGAUUUAAGAUUUAGUUAAUUUUUGGCCUAAAGUUUGAAUGAAGUCUAAUAAGAAUUUAACUAGGAUUAAAUUAAGAUUGAAUCAAGAUAUAUUUGAGAUAUAUUUGUGAUCAUUCAAAUAUUUCUUUGAGAUUUCUUAUUAUUUCUUUGUAAUUUCUUUGAGGUUUCUUUGAAUUUGAUUAAAGCUUGAUUAAUAUUAUUAUGGUCUAAUUAGUGUUUAAUUAGUGUUUUAUUAGAAUUAAGAUUUUGUUGUUGCAAUUUCCAUUCUACCUUCCACAGCCAAGUAUCCGAAGCAUCUUCAAGCAAGAGUUCACUUAUUACAAAAAUUUAAUGAAAAAAUAUUUAUUAUCAUCCAUUGAACCAUAUCAUGUUUUCCAAAUACCUUUACAAAUGCUUCUAAAAAAGCUUCAAAGUUGCUCAUGAUUAGUAAUUUCCUCUCAAAUAAAAGAACAAAUCAAGAUAAGACUUAUCCUGUGAACAAGGUUCAACUAAAUCAACUC